rnacentral:rRNA from 1 species
AUGAACGCUGGCGGCGUGCCUAAUACAUGCAAGUCGAGCGAACGGACGAGAAGCUUGCUUCUCUGAUGUUAGCGGCGGACGGGUGAGUAACACGUGGAUAACCUACCUAUAAGACUGGGAUAACUUCGGGAAACCGUAGCUAAUACCGGAUAAUAUUUUGAACCGCAUGGUUCCAAAGUGAAAGACGGUCUUGCUGUCACUUAUAGAUGGAUCCGCGCUGCAUUAGCUAGUUGGUAAGGUAACGGCUUACCAAGGCAACGAUGCAUAGCCGACCUGAGAGGGUGAUCGGCCACACUGGAACUGAGACACGGUCCAGACUCCUACGGGAGGCAGCAGUAGGGAAUCUUCCGCAAUGGGCGAAAGCCUGACGGAGCAACGCCGCGUGAGUGAUGAAGGUCUUCGGAUCGUAAAACUCUGUUAUUAGGGAAGAACAUAUGUGUAAGUAACUGUGCACAUCUUAACGGUACCUAAUCAGAAAGCCACGGCUAACUACGU